UUUUUAAUUAAGAUCUUGUAUGAAUGAUUGGACAAAAGAAAUUCUGUCUUUACACUAAAAUUUGAAUUUAACUUUUAAGUGAAAAGGCUUAAAUAUUCUAAGGGGACGAUAAGACCCUAUAAAACUUUUAUAUUAAAUUAAAUUUUUAUUGAAUUUUUUAUAAUAAUUAAGUUUAGUUUUUUAUUUUAUUGGGGAGAUAAGAGUAUAAAUUAUAUUAACUGCUUUAAAUAUAAACAAUAAUAAAUGAGUAAUUUAUUGAUCCUUUAUUAAGAUUAAGAGAUUAAGUUACUUUAGGGAUAACAGAUGCA
rnacentral:rRNA from 1 species